rnacentral:rRNA from 1 species
CUACGGGUUGCACCAGUGGGGAAUAUUGCACAAUGGGGGGAACCCUGAUGCAGCAACGCCGCGUGGAGGAUGACGCAUUUCGGUGUGUAAACUCCUUUUAUAUGUCAAGAAAAUGACGGUAGCAUAUGAAUAAGCGCCGGCUAACUCCGUGCCAGCAGCCGCGGUAAUACGGAGGGCGCAAGCGAUACUCGGAAUCACUGGGCGUAAAGGACGCGUAGGCGGGUUGAAAAGUCAGGUGUGAAAGCCUACAGCUUAACUGUAGAACUGCACUUGAAACUCUCAAUCUAGAGUAUGGGAGGGGCAGAUGGAGUUAGUGGUGUAGGGGUAAAAUCCGUAGAUAUCACUAGGAAUACCUAAAGCGAAGGCGAUCUCCUGGAACAUUACUGACGCUAAGGCGUGAAAGCGUGGGGAGCAAACAGGAUUAGAUACCCCGGUAGUC